UGCCAGCCGCCGCGGUAACACGGGGGGCGCAAGCGUUAUUCGGAAUUAUUGGGCGUAAAGGGCGCGCAGGCGGUCUCGUCAGUCAGGUGUGAAAGCCCGGGGCUCAACCCCGGAUGGUCACUUGAAACAGCAAGACUUGAGUACGGGAGAGGAGAGAGGAAUUCCUGGUGUAGAGGUGAAAUUCGUAGAUAUCAGGAGGAACACCGAUGGCGAAGGCAUCUCUCUGGACCGAUACUGACGCUGAGGAGCGAAAGCGUGGGGAGCAAACAGGAUUAGAUA
rnacentral:rRNA from 1 species